ensembl:lncRNA
UGCUGGUUACCCGUUAUUGAUGUCCAGGACUCCUUGCCAAACCAGCCCUAGCAUGGCGUAAUGGUGUUGGUGGUGGGAGAUUAAUGGAACCCCAUGGAACCAAAGACAAUCUGUUUAUAUUUUUAAUUGCCCGGAGCUAAAGGCUGCACAAGCCAGCAGGUGGUGGAGUGGAAGCAUGGGUCUCUGAAAAUAAGUAUGAGAACUAGUAUGUGUGUGUGUGAGUGUAUGUGUGUUAAGAACCCUUUAGCCCGCUAUGGGGCCCAUGCAAUAAGACAAGCUACUUAUAAAAACUGUUUUAACGAGGGGAGGUUCAUGGUUCACCCUGAAAUACAAUUUUCUGAACAGAUAAAUUAUAGCACUUACCUGGUGAUAAACUAUUGUUUUGACCUGAACUUCAUACUACAUGAGUAACAACAAAUAAAGUUUUUUUGAAUUUGAAUUUGAAGUAAUUGCUUUCCAGAAGACUCAUCUCAAUACUUUCUAUUUAUUUAUUUAUUGAUAUAUUUUCCCUACACUUCUUCUCAAUUGACACUAUUACUUUUUUUAUUUAUUGUUUCAUAGUUAUCAGGUUCUUUCCAAAUAUCCAUCGAUUUUACUUAAUGUAUAAAUGCAUUUCAGUCCUAUUUCUUCUGGCAAAAAACAUUUCUAGGUAGCCGAUUCCAAAUUGAUCAUCCCAUGAAUAAUAAUGUAAACAGCAGAACCAGAUGGGCCUCGCCUUCACUUACAGCUAUGGACAACUUCACACAAACACUAUCCACUAAGAUUUGGCAUCUGUACUUUAAAUGACCAGGGUGAACUCUGACAAAACAACCUUUUACGAGGAUUGGCUCCAACCACACCAUUUAUAUUAUUCCACUCAUCUGGAUUAAUCUCGAUUUCCUUUCCUCCCUUCCUACCUUCCUCCUCACACACAGUUCACCGUGGUGAACAUCAAAGUCAGACAUGGGCUUCCCUUCGCCAGAAGCACUUUGGAGACUUUGGAGAUCAGAGAUCAAUGUAUCAUAUGCCUGAAGCACAGGAUGUGAUCAACAGAGCAGAACCGAUGUCAUUCACAGAGCUGCCUGCAAAAGCACUGCACCUGUCUUGGACCGGGCAAUGGAAAAAAGAAGCUCACCCUCGUAAUGGAAACACACCCAUCGCAUCAUUAUCCUAGUUGGUGAAAGAGGGAGCGACAGAGAGAGGAGAGAGAGAAAGAGAGUGUGAGAGAGAGAGAGAGAGAGAGAGAGAGAGAGAGAGAGAGAGAGAGAGGAGAGAGAAAAAGACAGAGAGGGAAGGAAAAGAAUGAUGUAAGAGAGAAGAGGAUGGGCAGAAUAUGGCAAACAAGAUAUUUAUGCCGACAGCAAAGGGGAACACAUUACGAACACGUUACACAAAAGUUGAAAAAGAGAAAGAGGGUGGUUGCAAAGAAAAAAAUGAGGUUUCGGAAUGAGACAGGUAGACAUAGCAGGAUGAGGGGCGUGUUUUAGGCGCUGGAGAAAUAGGAUACGAGUUUAGGUUUUGGGUGAAGCUGGAACUCCGGAACCGCCAUAACAUCUCUCUUGGCGUGCGCCAAGUGUUCCUGUGUUCAACCUCUCCUGGCCCGAUGUUUAAAGCAGAGACAGUUCCUCCCGAGGGUCCAGGGGACGCAAAGAAAACAGAAAAAUGGCCGCCACACCCUGUCAAGCUUGUCGCCAGAGGUGAGACGUCAAACGUGGUGACAGGGCCCACCUGGAUGCGGGGAGGAACCUUCUGCAGACUCUGGUGCUGCACGGUCAGCAGCGGCCCUGACCGUUAAAGCCUCUUCCCUCUUCCUGCCGGAGCGCGGUCUCCGGUUGGGUGCUGCCUGCGUGUCUGUUUCCUUCACCAUUUAUGUUGGCAGCGAGGGACGUCGGCUCCACUGAGCUCUCUCCAAAACAGGAAGGGAACCCUGGUCUGAGAUACAGGACGCAGGAGACUGGAAAACAAACGAGAUGGGGAUGUGCAGACACGAGAGGACAACUGGGGAUACACAUUGAACGCCCGAUCUGCUCCAGACCAGGCCAUGGAGUUUGUGUGUGUGUGUGUGUACAUACUGUGAAUGUGUGUGUCUGCUGUGAAUGUGUUUUUAUUGUGUGUGUGUCUGUGUGUGUGUGUGUGUUUAUAUUGUGAAAGUGUGUGUCGACUGUGGAUGUGUUUGUAUUUGGUGUGUCUGUGUAUGAGACAGAGGGAGAAACUCUAUGUGUUUUGGGUUUAUGAUGGGUGUAUGCGGAUGUCAAGUCAAUGGUUACUAGAAUUGGAUCUACUUUAUUAAUCGUAGAUGAGAAAUGAUAGCAUCCCAGCUGAAAGUGACACUGCUAGCAUGACUGGCAAGUGCCCUUUUUCCUCUCAAGGCGAAAUACUAUUUGCGACAUACCAUACCAGCAACAACACACAAAGGCCAAUAUGCCAUACACAUAAAAUAAAAGUCUAGUGCCGUCAUCAUCAUCAACAUUAUAGUAUGCAUGACCCAAUAUGUGGACAUUUUGCGGGUCUAUAUAUAAAUAAACUGGUAUCCAACUAAAUUAUAUCAGUGUGACCUCUCAUAUACCCUUCUUUAUCAUGUGCGUUAAACACGCACACACACAUGAAAUGUAUGCAAGCAUAGCAUCAGCAGAUUCUUUUACUC